GGGCCCAUAGCUCAACAGGAUAGAGCAUCGGACUUCGGAUCCGAGGGUUGGGGGUUCGAGUCCUCCUGGGCCCG
rnacentral:tRNA from 1 species